CUAAGCAACAAAAGUGUCAAUUUGUGAUAUGGGACCCAAUCCACAGUGAAUAGGUGAAUAAUCCAGCCAAAAUCCAGAAGCUUCAAUCCACGGUCCAUACAUCAAGAUCUAAUAAACAAAUUGCCCCCACAUUAAUCAAAAUAAAGGCAAGUGGACAAAGCCCUCUUUGCUUCUUCAAUUCUCUUCACAUCCCUCUAGAAAUUAAUAAUAACAAUAAUAAUACCCAUAAAGAGCACCAUCAUCUAUCCCUCUCUUUCCCUUUUCCCUACCACACUCACCUUGUCUAAUGUCACAAUUCACAAAUGUAUGCUUUUUUGACAUGGUCAAUGCCCAAAUGAGAGAGAGAAUCUCUUGCAAUUCAAUUGAGUUAGAAGGAACCAAGAAAAAUACAUUUGUCAUCAUAAAUAUACAAAUGAGAGUGAUUAAGAUAUGGGAUCUUUAAACUUCCACACCACCACAGAGAGAAAGAGACUGGGUUAUCUUUUGCUGUCUUUUUCUUUCUGAUUAAAAUCAAGAGAUAUGGGAUCUAUCUUUCUUUAUAUUUAUAUAUACAGAUGGCUUCUUAAGAUCUAUGAUCCUAGGGGUCCCCUACUGGUGGUAGACUCUGAUAAUUGGUCCACUUCCCAACUUUGUCUGGGUGCAACCUUGUCGUGGAUUGCUGUGUACUCCUCCAUUUUCUUGAGGAGUUCUGCUGCUGUUUCUGCUAUAACCACAAUAUGCCUUGCUGUAUCUUUUAUAAAACCUUCUUCAACCCCCUUAUCAAACAAGGAAAGCAAGCUGUUGUAAUAUCCUUCUACAUUUAACAAUCCCACCUGUUUCAAAAUUCAAAAUCCAGAGAUGAUAACAAAGAAAGAGAACCCAUCAGGGUUUAUCUUCUGAAAGAACUGGUGAAGACAAGGAAAAAGCUUAAAAUUAAAACCCUUCUUACUGGUUUGUCAUGAAUUCCUAGUUGAGACCAGGCAAUUAUCUCUAACAGUUCUUCCAGGGUUCCAUAACCACCUAGGCAAAUUACAAAAAUUUGGAUUCAAGACUAUGUUAUUUAAGUAUACUUAGUUUUGUGCAUGUCUUGUUUUCUUUGAAGGAAAACUUAUGCAUAUACCAGGAAGUGCAACGAAAGCAUCUGCAUGUCUUGCCAUUUCUGCCUUUCUUUGGUGCAUAUCUGCAACAGUUAUCAUUUCUCCUAUGGUUUCUCCUGAUAUCUGGCAAGUGGAUAGCUUUAGUUUUAAUCUUCCAUUUUUAUCUUCAACGAUAUAGAAGCAUGUAUAAUUCUUAACUGGGGAUCGAAUAGUACCUCAUGAGGCCUGAGAGCCUUCGGCAUCACUCUAUACAAGAAGCAAAGCUUGAGCAAAUAAUAUGUCAAGUUUUCUAAUAUGCCAACCAAAAGAAAAGCAAAGCAAAGAAAUAAAAAUGUAGAAUAUAAUACCCAAGAACAUGGCAACCUCCAUUAAAUACAGUUUGUGAUAUCAAACCCAUAAGCCCUACACUUCCCCCACCAUAGACCAAAUCAAUCUUUCUCUGAACCUGACAUAACAUGAACAUAAACAAUGAAACAGGACAUGCAAAAGAUCUCAUAAAGGAAAUUUAGAUUAUAUAUAUAUAUAAAGAAAAGAUGAAUAAAUUAUUUGAAUAUAUGUGUAUUACCAGUUCUUUACCAAGUUCAAGAGCAGCAUCACCAAAUGAAGACUUGUAUCCAGCUCUACUCCCACAGAAGACACAUAUCCUCUUAAACUUCCUUGUCUUUUCACUUGUUGCAGUUGUUCC
rnacentral:misc_RNA from 1 species